AUUGAACGCUGGCGGCAUGCUUUACACAUGCAAGUCGAACGGUAACAGGCCUUCGGGUGCUGACGAGUGGCGAACGGGUGAGUAAUGCAUCGGAACGUGCCCAGAGGUGGGGGAUAACGCAGCGCAAGCUGUGCUAAUACCGCAUGUGAUCUGAGGAUGAAAGCGGGGGACCAAGCAGCAAUGUUUGGCCUCGCGCCUCUGGAGCGGCCGAUGUCAGAUUAGGUAGUUGGUGGGGUAAAGGCCUACCAAGCCGACGAUCUGUAGCUGGUCUGAGAGGACGACCAGCCACACUGGGACUGAGACACGGCCCAGACUCCUACGGGAGGCAGCAGUGGGGAAUUUUGGACAAUGGGCGCAAGCCUGAUCCAGCAAUGCCGCGUGCGGGAAGAAGGCCUUCGGGUUGUAAACCGCUUUUGUACGGAACGAAAAGGCUCUGGCUAAUACCUGGGGCUGAUGACGGUACCGUAAGAAUAAGCACCGGCUAACUACGUG
rnacentral:rRNA from 1 species